rnacentral:rRNA from 1 species
UACGUAGGGUGCGAGCGUUGUCCGGAAUUACUGGGCGUAAAGAGCUCGUAGGUGGUUUGUCGCGUUGUUCGUGAAAUUCCCUGGCUUAACUGUGGGCGUGCGGGCGAUACGGGCAGACUUGAGUACUGCAGGGGAGACUGGAAUUCCUGGUGUAGCGGUGGAAUGCGCAGAUAUCAGGAGGAACACCGGUGGCGAAGGCGGGUCUCUGGGCAGUAACUGACGCUGAGGAGCGAAAGCGUGGGGAGCGAACAGG